rnacentral:rRNA from 1 species
GACGAACGCUGGCGGCGUGCUUAACACAUGCAAGUCGAACGAGAAAGCCCUUCGGGGUAAGUACAGUGGCGAACGGGUGAGUAACACGUGGGCAACCUGCCCCAGAGAGCGGGACAACCCGGGGAAACCCGGGCUAAUACCGCAUGAUGCGUCUCCACUUAAGUGGAGCCGCCAAAUGGUAGCUUCGGCCUCCGCCCUGGGAUGUGCCCGCGCCGGAUUAGCUCGGUGGUUGGGGUAACGGCCCACCAAGGCGACGAUCCGUAGCUGGUCUGAGAGGACGAUCAGCCACACUGGGACUGAGACACGGCCCAGACUCCUACGGGAGGCAGCAGUGGGGAAUCUUGCGCAAUGGGCGAAAGCCUGACGCAGCAACGCCGCGUGGGGGAAGAAGGCCUUCGGGUUGUAAACCUCUUUCAGUAGGGACGAAGCUUCCGGGGUUAAUAGCCUACGGGGUGACGGUACCUACAGAAGAAGCCCCGGCUAACUACGUGCCAGCAGCCGCCGUAA